CUGCCCAACACAUCUGGAUUGAUAAACUCCAUAAUUGUUAUCAGUAGGUUUAAUGUGUUUGUCAACAGGUAGAUUGUGAUGAGUGCUGCCAACGUGCGUGUCGCGUCGCGCUUCCGACGACGGGCUGCACAUGCCUCUGAAUUGCGACGGAGCAGGCUAGGCAUUUGCUGAAA
ensembl:ncRNA F56A11.12 ncRNA